CAAUAGCAUAUAUUAACGUUGUUGCAGUUGAAAAGCUCGUAGUUGAACUUUUGGUAGGAGCGACCUGGCCUUGGGCGCAUGCCCUUGUUUGCCGUGUGUCGUAUCUGGCCAUCCUUUUCCGCUUCGGCGGGAAUCCUUUACUGUGAGUAAACUGGAGUGCUCAAAACAAGACGUUUGUUUGGUACAUUAAAGCAUGGAAUAAUAAGGUAGGACCUGGUUACUAUUUUGUUGGUUUGCAUAGCUAGGUAAUGAUUAACAGGGACAGUUGGGGGUAUUCGUAUUUAAUUGUCAGAGGUGAAAUUCUUGGAUUUAUGAAAGACGAACGACUGCGAAAGCAUUUACCAAGGAUGUUUUCAUUAA
rnacentral:rRNA from 1 species